rnacentral:rRNA from 1 species
UACGUAGGGUGCGAGCGUUGUCCGGAAUUAUUGGGCGUAAAGGGCUCGUAGGCGGUCUGUUGCGUCGGGAGUGAAAACUCAGGGCUUAACCCUGAGCCUGCUUCUGAUACGGGCAGACUAGAGGUAUGCAGGGGAGAACGGAAUUCCUGGUGUAGCGGUGAAAUGCGCAGGAUAUCAGGAGGAACACCGGUGGCGAAGGCGGUUCUCUGGGCAUUACCUGACGCUGAGGAGCGAAAGUGUGGGGAGCGAACAGG